AUGGAAGAAUUCCCGGGGUGGUGUGCAGAAGCAAGUCUGGUGCCUAGGCCCAUUCAAUGGUCCAGUAAGCCUGUUUUUUUUUUUAAUCUUCCCAAGCUGCCUCCAAAAAUGACGCUCCAUGGGCUCUCCAACAACGUCAAAAUCACGCAUAAAACUAUAAGAUUAUUCAGGUUGGUGAUGAAGAAGGAAAGAGAAGAUUGGAGGUGGUGGAGAAGAUGA